AGAGUUUGAUCCUGGCUCAGAAUCAACGCUGGCGCGCGCCUAACACAUGCAAGUCGAACGAGAAAGUGGAGCAAUCCAUGAGUACAGUGGCGUACGGGUGAGUAACACGUGGAUCAUCUACCUUCUGGUGAGGAAUAACCAUGGGAAACCGUGGCUAAUACCGCAUAAGCCCGAGAGGGGAAAGUCGAAAGACGCCGGAA
rnacentral:rRNA from 1 species